rnacentral:rRNA from 1 species
GACGAACGCUGGCGGCGUGCCUAAUACAUGCAAGUAGAACGCUGAAGGAGGAGCUUGCUUCUCUGGAUGAGUUGCGAACGGGUGAGUAACGCGUAGGUAACCUGCCUGGUAGCGGGGGAUAACUAUUGGGAACGAUAGCUAAUACCGCAUAAUAGUAGAUGUUGCAUGACAUUUGCUUAAAAGGUGCAAUUGCAUCACUACCAGAUGGACCUGCGUUGUAUUAGCUAGUUGGUGGGGUAACGGCUCACCAAGGCGACGAUACAUAGCCGACCUGAGAGGGUGAUCGGCCACACUGGGACUGAGACACGGCCCAGACUCCUACGGGAGGCAGCAGUAGGGAAUCUUCGGCAAUGGACGGAAGUCUGACCGAGCAACGCCGCGUGAGUGAAGAAGGUUUUCGGAUCGUAAAGCUCUGUUGUAAGAGAAGAACGAGUGUGAGAGUGGAAAGUUCACACUGUGACGGUAUCUUACCAGAAAGGGACGGCUAACUACGUG